CACGUAGGGCGCAAGCGUUGUCCGGAAUUAUUGGGCGUAAAGAGCUCGUAGGCGGCUUGUCGCGUCGGCUGUGAAAACCUAGGGCUCAACCCUGGGCCUGCAGCCGAUACGGGCAAGCUAGAAUUCGGUAGGGGAGACUGGAAUUCCUGGUGUAGCGGUGAAAUGCGCAGAUAUCAGGAGGAACACCGGUGGCGAAGGCGGGUCUCUGGGCCGAUAUUGACGCUGAGGAGCGAAAGCGUGGGGAGCGAACAGG
rnacentral:rRNA from 1 species